rnacentral:misc_RNA from 1 species
AACUUUUGGCAACGGAUCACUUGGCUCUCGCAUCGAUGAAGAACGCAGCGAAUUGCGAUAUGUAAUGUGAAUUGCAGAAUUCAGUGAAUCAUCGAAUCUUUGAACGCACAUUGCACCUUCUGGAAAUUCCAGAAGGUAUGCCUGUUUGAGUGUCAUUAAUAUCUCACUAUAAGCAAUUAGUUUGUUUAUGAGUGGAUGAUGAAGGUUGCUGGCUCUCAUUGUCAGCUCCUUUUAAAUGCAUGAGCAGAUCUGUGUAGACUCAGCUUUAGUUUGAUAAUUUUGUUUAUCUGAGCUGUUGCUGAGGAACUUGAAGAUCAGCUUUCAAACUGUCCUUUUGAAGGACUGUCUUUUAUAGACAAUCAAAUAUGACUUUUGACCUCAAAUCAGGUAGGACUACCCGCUGAACUUAAGCAUAUCAAUAAGCGGAGGCU